rnacentral:rRNA from 1 species
ACGAACGCUGGCGGCGUGCUUCACACAUGCCAGUCGAACGGAAAGGCCCUGCUUUUGGGGGGUGCUCGAGUGGCGAACGGGUGAGUAACACGUGAGUAACCUGCCCUUGACUUUGGGAUAACUUCAGGAAACUGGGGCUAAUACCGGAUAGGAGCUCCUGCUGCAUGGUGGGGGUUGGAAAGUUUCGGCGGUUGGGGAUGGACUCGCGGCUUAUCAGCUUGUUGGUGGGGUAGUGGCUUACCAAGGCUUUGACGGGUAGCCGGCCUGAGAGGGUGACCGGCCACAUUGGGACUGAGAUACGGCCCAGACUCCUACGGGAGGCAGCAGUGGGGAAUAUUGCACAAUGGGCGGAAGCCUGAUGCAGCAACGCCGCGUGCGGGAUGACGGCCUUCGGGUUGUAAACCGCUUUCGCCUGUGACGAAGCGUGAGUGACGGUAAUGGGUAAAGAAGCACCGGCUAACUACGUG